rnacentral:rRNA from 1 species
UACGGAAUGUGCAAACGUUAUUCGGAAUCACUGGGCUUAAAGAGUCCGUAGGCGGCUUGUUAGGUGAGGUGUGAAAGCCCUCGGCCCAACCGAGGAAUUGCGCUUCAAACCGGCUAGCUUGAGGAGGAUAGAGGUGGGCGGAACUGAUGGUGGAGCGGUGAAAUGCGUUGAUAUCAUCAGGAACACCGGAGGCGAAAGCGGUCCACUGGGUCCUUUCUGACGCUGAGGGACGAAAGCUAGGGGAGCGAACGGG